rnacentral:rRNA from 1 species
CCGAAUUCGUCGACACUGAGUUUGAUCCUGGCUCAGAUUGAACGCUGGCGGCAUGCUUUACACAUGCAAGUCGAACGGCAGCGCGGGCUUCGGCCUGGCGGCGAGUGGCGAACGGGUGAGUAAUAUAUCGGAACGUGCCCAAGAGUGGGGGAUAACGUAGCGAAAGUUACGCUAAUACCGCAUACGAUCUAAGGAUGAAAGUGGGGGAUCGCAAGACCUCAUGCUCCUGGAGCGGCCGAUAUCUGAUUAGCUAGUUGGUGAGGUAAAGGCUCACCAAGGCGACGAUCAGUAGCUGGUCUGAGAGGACGACCAGCCACACUGGAACUGAGACACGGUCCAGACUCCUACGGGAGGCAGCAGUGGGGAAUUUUGGACAAUGGGGGCAACCCUGAUCCAGCAAUGCCGCGUGAGUGAAGAAGGCCUUCGGGUUGUAAAGCUCUUUUGUCAGGGAAGAAAAGGUCGUGGCUAAUAUCCACGGCUCAUGACGGUACCUGAAGAAUAAGCACCGGCUAACUACGUGCCAGCAGCCGCGGUAAUACGUAGGGUGCAAGCGUUAAUCGGAAUUACUGGGCGUAAAGCGUGCGCAGGCGGUUUUGUAAGUCUGACGUGAAAUCCCCGGGCUUAACCUGGGAAUGGCGUUGGAGACUGCAAGGCUGGAAUCUGGCAGAGGGGGGUAGAAUUCCACGUGUAGCAGUGAAAUGCGUAGAGAUGUGGAGGAACACCGAUGGCGAAGGCAGCCCCCUGGGCUAAAAUUGACGCUCAUGCACGAAAACGUGGGGAGCACACAGGAUUAGAUACCCUGGUAGUCCACCCCCCUAAACGAUGUCUUACUAAUUGUUGGGUCCUUAUUUGCUUAGUAACGCCGCCUAACGGGUGAAGUAGACCGCCCUGGGGAGGUACGUCUGGAAGAUUAAAAUUCAAAAGGAAUUGACGGGGGACCCGCCCAAAUGGGGGGAAGAUUUUGGAUUAAUUUGAUUUCACACCCUAAAAACCUUUACCUUCCCCUUGGAUUGUGUGGGGAUUUCUCCAAGAAAUCGCGGGAGAGUGGU